AACAAUGUGCCUGAUAAAAGGGUUUUUUUGAUAGAAAAAUUAAUAGUAAACGACUUACUUAUUGUUU
rnacentral:tRNA from 1 species